AUUUUAAAGGUUAAGAAGGUGGUCGUUAUGGCAUGUAUAGCUGUGGUAAUUAAUGGCACUGCCAAGGUGGAGAGAAGGUCCAGGAAGAUAGAAUUUAUAGUGUGAACCGCAGCAGAGCGGCUCCUGGGGCUGAAAGAUUUCUCAGCGAAGGAGUUACAUGCAAUAUUGCUACAAGUCGUACCACCCUCUCAGGCCCCAGAGCCGGACCACCCUCUCAGGCCCUAGAGUCGUACCACCCUCUCAGGCCCUAGAGCCCUACCACCCUCUCAGGUCCUAGACCCUCUCAGGUCCUAGACCCUCUCAGGUCCUAGAGCCGUACCACCCUCUCAGGUCCUAGCCGUACCACCCUCUCAGGUCCUAGCCGUACCACCCUCUCAGGUCCUAGCCGUACCACCCUCUCAGGUCCUAGAGCCAUACCACCCUCUCAGGUCCUAGCCGUACCACCCUCUCAGGUCCUAGCCGUACCACCCUCACAGGUCCUAGACCCUCUCAGGUCCUAGAGCCGUACCACCCUCUCAGGUCCUAGAGCUUCACCACCCUCUCAGGUCCUAGACCCUCUCAGGUCCUAGAGCCUAACGGUGAUAUGGAGAACUAAAAGGAAGAAGUGGG
rnacentral:lncRNA from 1 species